GAUGAAGAACGUAGCGAAAUGCGAUAAGUAAUGUGAAUUGCAGAAUUCAGUGAAUCAUCGAAUCUUUGAACGCACAUUGCGCCCGCCAGUAUUCUGGCGGGCAUGCCUGUUCGAGCGUCAUUACAACCCUCAGGCCCCCGGGCCUGGCGUUGGGGAUCGGCGGAGCCCCCCGUGGGCACACGCCGUCCCCCAAAUACAGUGGCGGUCCCGCCGCAGCUUCCAUCGCGUAGUAGCUAACACCUCGCGACUGGAGAGCGGCGCGGCCACGCCGUAAAACACCCAACUCUUCUGAAGUUGACCUCGAAUCAGGUAGGAAUACCCGUUGAACUUAAGCAUAUCAAUAAGCGGAGA
rnacentral:misc_RNA from 1 species